GCGCUAUUAGUUCAGUACGGUAGAACGUGGGUCUCCAAAACCCGACGUCGUAGGUUCAAAUCCUGCAUAGCAUG